UGUUAGAUAGACGCCAUGGUGAUUCGGGGGGGAAACAAACCGUGGAUGUAUCAUAAGAACUGUAUAAUGUAUUUUAUAUCAUAUAUUAUAGUUUUUAUUUCUUUAAACCAAUCACAAUCAUCGAUGUGAUCUAUCCAGGCAUAGAGCAUCUUUGUCCAGGCUUGUGAGAUGCGUCUCUUCAGCCGCCAUCUUGCUCAGGGGUUCUGACCUGUUGGUUCGUACUGACCCAUUCCCGGGUUUUCUACCAGUUUUGUAGAAAAUGCCAGAAUUUUGUGCUGCUUUUGGAUGUUCCAAAGAAAGAAAUAACAAAACUAAGCACCAAGGAAUAACAUUUCACAGGUUCCCAAAAGAUAAAGUAAAAAGACAGGCAUGGGCAGCAGCACUGAGAAGAAGAGACUUUGAGCCAAAUGACUGCUCAGUCGCCUGCAGCUAUCAUUUCAAGCCAGAAGACUUUGACAGGACUGGACAAACAACUUGAUUAAAGGAAGGAGUGAUCUCGUCAGUUUUUAUAUUGCCUGACCGUCUUUGCAAAGUGUUUACAGACUGUGGAUGCCAAGCCUGGAUUAAACACAUCACUUUUAGAUAUGCUACCACAACGAAAAAAUGAAGAUCCGGCAAAAUUCGGUCAAGUGUGUCAUAUGGUGGAUGCCAUGGACAUCAGGAGGCAGGUUCAGUCUGACUCUCACACACAAACAAUGACAGGCUUUAUGGAUCUUUGAGAUGACAUUGAUGAGACCAGUGUGGCAAGUGAAGCCCUUGUGUGUAUGUGUAUAUACAGACAGCUGACAAAUUAAAGGAAAAACUGGUA